UACGAAGGGGGCUAGCGUUGCUCGGAAUCACUGGGCGUAAAGGGUGCGUAGGCGGGUCUUUAAGUCAGGGGUGAAAUCCUGGAGCUCAACUCCAGAACUGCCUUUGAUACUGAAGAUCUUGAGUCCGGGAGAGGUGAGUGGAACUGCGAGUGUAGAGGUGAAAUUCGUAGAUAUUCGCAAGAACGCCAGUGGCGAAGGCGGCUCACUGGCCCGGUACUGACGCUGAGGCACGAAAGCGUGGGGAGCAAACAGG
rnacentral:rRNA from 1 species